CUACAACAGUCUGGGUUGUAAGUGAUGAGUCUUGCUUUGAGAACACAAGGUGAUGGCCUCUCUUUCUCAGCUUGUCUCUAUCCAGAGGUCUGCCUCCAGGUUCUGACUGAAUAUUGUGAUGUUCUGUUCCAAAACAAAGGGUCUCUCACUGAACCUGGAGCUCACCAACUCAGCUAGACUAGCUGACCAAUGAGCCUCAAGGAUCCUCUUGUCUCCACCUUCCCAAGACUGGGAUUGCAAACAUGUACUAUUGUACUCAGAAUUUUUCUACAGGGGUGCUGAAGAUUGAACUAACUCAGCUGUUGCUCAUGCUUGCACAGCAAGAAUUCUACCACCUGAACCACCCCUCCAGGGUAUCUGAGCUACCAUGCCCGUCUCUGGGCAGAUGGAGAAGUGAGAAUUGAUGUAAUAAAGCCUCGCUUUGUUUGAUUACAAAGCACGAUGCUUUCUUUCCAUUCUGCUUUUCCACUCAGCACUGGUCCUGAGAAUGGGGACAGAGAAGAUAAACCGAGGUUCACCCAAACCAAGGACAGAUAUGGCGGGAACAGAGUGUCAAGAAUUCUCUCCGUCCAGUGUCAUUUGGCAGUUACAGCAUCUAGGAGAAGACUCAGUGGACCCUUCCCUGUCUCUCUAGUGGCUGCCAGCCCCUAUCUGUGCCACUUAGUGACUGCACCACCGAAGAGAGAGCUGCCAUUUCUUCCUCAGCAAAGAAAGACACGUAACACCUGCUACAAUAGAACCAGGCAGACAGUGAAUUCUACAGUGCGGUCUAGAAAGGCGUUGUAGCUACAAAUUCAAAAAUACCACCUAUUUUUUCCUCAUUCCUCAUACCUUGGGCUUUGCAAGCAUUUUUAGAGACCCAGUAAUAAGUAUUUUCAGUUUUUCAGGAUAUGUAUUUACUCUGUCACAACUUCUCAAAGGUGCCUUUCUAGUGGAAAAUGUAGUUAUAGACAACAUGUCCCCAGAUGGAAUUUUAUUCCAGUAAAACUUGGCAAAAAAACGAUGUUUGACCAGAUUUGGCCCAUGGGCCAUACCAUACAUGCAAAUCUCUGUGGUACACGUUUGGUAAAAACAAAACACAGAGGUAGAGAGAAAUAUCUAAACUUGUUUUCGGGCAUAAAGAAUGAAACUGGUGAGUUUUGUGAGACCUCCAGAUGUCUCCUUAAGGUACCAUUUGAAAUUAGGGUUGCAACCCUGCCCAGUAUCCUCACCACCAUCAGGAGAGGCAUAAAGCAAUCCCAAUUUUCUAUACCUUCCUCUGGACCACACUCAUCUCUGGGAAAGACAGGUCUGAUAUUGUUAAAGAAAAUAUCAAUCACACUUGUGGUAAAAGGUCACUACAUUUUUUAAAGAAAUUGGUCCUUUGAGCAAGAUGAAUUUUAAUGGAUUGGUUUAUUAACCUAAAGGUUGAACCAGACUGAGAGUAACUAAAUGAUUUGUUCAUAAUUAGUAUUAUUUAUAAUUAUUUUACUUGGGGAAAAAAUAUCACCUUAAAUGUCAGGAUGUUUUUUAAUUGCCUCAGAUGAGAUUCAAAAUAAUUGACUUUGCAAAUGUAUUCUUAAAAAAAAACUCAUUUAAAAAUAUCUGAAACUGCUGACAGUUUGUCUUGAAGAGGCAGCACAUCGAUAUUCAUCACUACGGACAGAGCAGAAAUUGAUCCAUGAUUUUUUUAAGCCAUGUGACUUGUGGUCACUUCUGUAUUCUAGAACCACUAGAAUGCCAAGGGAGAGACACAUAUUCUUAUUCUUCAUGAAAUCUGCACUUUGAGUGUACUAUGUGAAUAUUUAUACAUAGUUCCCAUUAAAUGCAGAAUGAAUGUGUUUUCAAGGGAAAGGAAUGUAUGUAUAUGCACACAUACACACACACAUAUAGAUGUACAUAUAUGUACAUGUACAUGCAUAUGCAAAUGUGUGUGCAUGUGUCUGUGCUUGGUAAUUUUAGAAAAAUACAGUCUUCUACAUAGUGUACAUUUGGACAGGAUAUUAACUUCUGGCAGGUGAAUAGGUAUGUGACUUAAACUUAGCAUCUUUGUAAAUAUUCACUGCAUCAUUUGAUUGGUGGACAUGAAGAGGAGAGGAGAAAGCUUCCUUUUGUUGGCAGCUGGAACAAAAGCUUAAACUAAUCUUGAGGUGUGGGGCAAUCACUAGAAAUGGCACAUUGGAGUCAUGAUGAUUGCACAGUGCUAGCCAAGUCACAAACUGUUGAUGUCUGCAGGUCAAUGGUGCACUUCAAACGUACAUUGAGAUGCAAGGAGGAAGAUCUGUGAGAACUCUAGGUGGCUGAUGAAAGAGAGCUAUCAACCCUUUACAAAUGGUCUGCACUGCCUUCCCCAUAUGCCACACUGACGCUCAAAGCUGAGAGAGAGGGGAUAGAAUUUGGCUACAGGUGUCAGAGCCCGUUGAAGUUCUCGAAGGUGACCGCCACCAGCCUGACCCAGACCACAGACCCAACUUUAUGUCUGACACAUCGCAUUUUGGUGAAAAAAAAAAAUCACAAGUGACCUGGAAAGAACAUUCUAGAAAGGGGAGAGAGUGACGGGAUUAUUAUUAUCACAGCCUGUCAUUUGCUUCUUCAAAACAGUCCAACCAUAUGCCCAAGACAUGACACUGACUCCUGUGUCCAGGACACAGAAAACUCACGCCCCCAGGCACCAUGUAGAAGCCAUCAAUCACUUGUCUGCAUGAGAAAUAGAAAAUAGAGCUGAGGCUGGAAAAAGAAUAUUUGUUUCUGUCAAAAAAAAAAAAAGGAGUGAAUAUGAAGUGUCUCAUUUAUCAAAGAGAUUAGUUCUAAAAGUCUGGGGAGUUACAUGUAUAAAUU